ensembl:lncRNA
UCAAAGCAUAAAAAAUCUGUCAUUUUAUUAGAAAACAGCUUGUGUUAAUGCUUGUAUAAAAGUACAACAUGUGUAUAUAUAUACAUUUGACAUUAAUGAAGUAAAUAUUGUAACAAUGCAAUAAUCCCAUGGCAACGUUUUUUUAAUGAGUACAUGUUAAAAUGUUUCAAGUGGAUGAAGACCAUAAAAGUUUCCUCAUUUUAUUAUAAAAUUGUUUGUUAAUGUUUGUAUAAAAGUGCAGCAUAUAUAUACAUUUGACAUUAAUAAACUAAAAUAGCAAGAACAGGACCUCAUAAUGUCCUGAUAAAGCACUGCCCCAAUCACUGCCUCGCAUUUUAUCUCCAGUAGAGACUCAAUCCUAAAGUCACAAGUUGCCUCAUUUUAAAGUGACUUGUUGAUUGAUUGAUUAACUUAUAUAGCAUCUGUAGUCAUCUACAGUAAGAAAGUUAAAGUAUAACUGUAAGAAUAUUAAGGAUUGAGUCUUUACGGGAGCAGCUUUACAUUUAAGUAGCUUUAUAUUAUAUAUAACAGCUUUAGUCUUCAAUCUAUAAUAUAUACAUGUACGUUCGUAUAGUCCACGGGUCAACAGAUGGUUUAAUAAAUAUCACAGCAUAUAACAAAAACAGUUGUUAGACAUUUAAUACUAUUUUGAAAGAUGUUUGUUCUUUGUGUAAAAACUAAAGGAGCUAGAAAAGUAUAAAUUAGGACAGCACCCAUUUCAGCGUAAGAAAAACCAAGACAGCCUUUUUCCAUUUAAUGUAACCUGUAGUUUCUCCACAGCUUUGGUGUUCGUAGCCAUUGAUUCAGCAGCUUCCUGCUCUCCACUGUCCGUCUCCUUAAACAUCAGCAGAGACACUCCUCUGGCUGUUCUCCUUUGAGGUUGAUCAGUCAAUCAAAGUGGCGAGAUAUGAGCCCAGUGCCAGCAGCAAUGGAGCUGACACUAGAACGGAAACCCACGUCACGAUGGAGAUGAUGCCCCAUUUUUUGGCCUGUCUUAAAUACUCUGGAGCUCUCCUGUCUGUCGUCGGCUCGGCCUUCUCAGCUUUUUCAGCAUCCUCAGCCUGUUAAAGUAAACACAUGACAAUAUUUUUCAUUUAAAGAUGAAAUCAAAAAGAAGAAGCAUUUUAUUUCAGUUUCUCUUAUUCUAAGAGAACAUAAUAAUUGAAUAUGUAGAUCUGAGGAGAUGUGAAGGUUAAGAUGUUUCUCAUUA